rnacentral:rRNA from 1 species
AUGAACGCUGGCGGCGUGCCUAAUACAUGCCAGUCGAGCGAACAGACGAGGAGCUUGCUCCUCUGACGUUAGCGGCGGACGGGUGAGUAACACGUGGAUAACCUACCUAUAAGACUGGGAUAACUUCGGGAAACCGGAGCUAAUACCGGAUAAUAUAUUGAACCGCAUGGUUCAAUAGUGAAAGACGGUUUUGCUGUCACUUAUAGAAGGAUCCGCGCCGCAUUAGCUAGUUGGUAAGGUAACGGCUUACCAAGGCAACGAUGCGUAGCCGACCUGAGAGGGUGAUCGGCCACACUGGAACUGAGACACGGUCCAGACUCCUACGGGAGGCAGCAGUAGGGAAUCUUCCGCAAUGGGCGAAAGCCUGACGGAGCAACGCCGCGUGAGUGAUGAAGGUCUUCGGAUCGUAAAACUCUGUUAUUAGGGAAGAACAAAUGUGUAAGUAACUAUGCACGUCUUGACGGUACCUAAUCAGAAAGCCACGGCUAACUACGUG